rnacentral:tRNA from 1 species
GUGUAGUUCAAUGGUAGAACUGUAGCUUCCCAAGCUACUAGCGUGGGUUCUUAUAACAAGUGAGCUGUACUGCACA